rnacentral:lncRNA from 1 species
UGUACUAACCCUAUGUAAGAUCUGAAACGGUCUAAUAAACUGGGGGUUUAACUUUUAUCUCUUUCCAAACCUGUUGAUACCCUUAAAGGGGGUGAUCUUAAGAAAUACUCGAUCGCUCCUCUCAAAUUUCAAGUCUUUCUUUUGGGUGUUCGCAUAAAUUUUUUGCCUACUCUAGGCUAUUUGGAUGUUCUUCCUGAUUUUAACUAUCUUUGUUGUUGUCUCAUCUACAA